AGCGUGUAGGUGUGUGUUCCAGGUAAAUCCGGUUCACUUUAACACUGAGGCGUGACGACGAGGCACUACGGUGCUGAAGCAACAAAUGCCCUGCUUCCAGGAAAAGCCUCUAAGCAUCAGGUAACAUCAAAUCGUACCCCAAACCGACACAGGUGGUCAGGUAGAGAAUACCAAGGCGCUUGAGAGAACUCGGGUGAAGGAACUAGGCAAAAUGGUGCCGUAACUUCGGGAGAAGGCACGCUGACACGUAGGUGAAGUGAUUUACUCAUGGAGCUGAAGUCAGUCGAAGAUACCAGCUGGCUGCAACUGUUUAUUAAAAACACAGCACUGUGCAAACACGAAAGUGGACGUAUACGGUGUGACGCCUGCCCGGUGCCGGAAGGUUAAUUGAUGGGGUCAGCGCAAGCGAAGCUCCUGAUCGAAGCCCCGGUAAACGGCGGCCGUAACUAUAACGGUCCUAAGGUAGCGAAAUUCCUUGUCGGGUAAGUUCCGACCUGCACGAAUGGCGUAAUGAUGGCCAGGCUGUCUCCACCCGAGACUCAGUGAAAUUGAACUCGCUGUGAAGAUGCAGUGUACCCGCGGCAAGACGGAAAGACCCCGUGAACCUUUACUAUAGCUUGACACUGAACAUUGAGCCUUGAUGUGUAGGAUAGGUGGGAGGCUUUGAAGUGUGGACGCCAGUCUGCAUGGAGCCGACCUUGAAAUACCACCCUUUAAUGUUUGAUGUUCUAACGUGGACCCGUUACCCGGGUUGCGGACAGUGUCUGGUGGGUAGUUUGACUGGGGCGGUCUCCUCCUAAAGAGUAACGGAGGAGCACGAAGGUUGGCUAAUCCUGGUCGGACAUCAGGAGGUUAGUGCAAUGGCAUAAGCCAGCUUGACUGCGAGCGUGACGGCGCGAGCAGGUGCGAAAGCAGGUCAUAGUGAUCCGGUGGUUCUGAAUGGAAGGGCCAUCGCUCAACGGAUAAAAGGUACUCCGGGGAUAACAGGCUGAUACCGCCCAAGAGUUCAUAUCGACGGCGGUGUUUGGCACCUCGAUGUCGGCUCAUCACAUCCUGGGGCUGAAGUAGGUCCCAAGGGUAUGGCUGUUCGCCAUUUAAAGUGGUACGCGAGCUGGGUUUAGAACGUCGUGAGACAGUUCGGUCCCUAUCUGCCGUGGGCGCUGGAGAACUGAGGGGGGCUGCUCCUAGUACGAGAGGACCGGAGUGGACGCAUCACUGGUGUUCGGGUUGUCAUGCCAAUGGCACUGCCCGGUAGCUAAAUGCGGAAGAGAUAAGUGCUGAAAGCAUCUAAGCACGAAACUUGCCCCGA
rnacentral:rRNA from 3 species